AGCUUCUGGGAAAGCUUCGUAGACUCGGCAAGUCGCUUCUGAUCUUAAGCUUCUUUGUGAUAGUUGUAAGGCAUUCUGGUAGGAAUGCCGACCACUACGCCGGCUUAGAAAGCGAGCGAGUCACUUCGGCUAGCAAGAUUCUCCCAGAUGAAGCGACUCGCUCGCUUCCCUUCGCCUAUCUAUCGGCAACGCUUGGAAGCCGUAAGGCUCCCUUACUUCACUGAACUGAUUCACGUAGGUCCAAACCAGCUGGCUCAUUUUUCCUUUAUGAGAUCUCAGCUCUUCGGAAUGGUUGGAGAGAGCCCCGCCUCCUCUUG
rnacentral:lncRNA from 1 species